GUUGUAUGGUUAAGUGACUAAGCGUACACGGUGGAUGCCUGGGCAGUCAGAGGCGAUGAAGGACGUACUAACUUGCGAUAAGCGCAGAUAAGGCAGUAAGAGCCGUUUGAGUCUGCGAUUUCCGAAUGGGGAAACCCAACUGCAUAAGCAGUUACUGUUAACUGAAUACAUAGG
rnacentral:rRNA from 1 species